rnacentral:rRNA from 1 species
CCUACGGGAGGCAGCAGUGAGGAAUAUUGGUCAAUGGGCGGAAGCCUGAACCAGCCAAGUAGCGUGCAGGAUGACGGCCCUACGGGUUGUACACUGCUUUUAUACGGGAAUAAUGCGCCUUACGUGUAGGGCUUUGCAUGUACCGUAUGAAUAAGGACCGGCUAAUUCCGUGCCAGCAGCCGCGGUAAUACGGAAGGUCCGGCCGUUAUCCGGAUUUAUUGGGUUUAAAGGGAGCGUAGGCCGCAUUUCAAGCGUGCUGUGAAAUGUCCGGGCUCAACCCGGGCCUUGCAGCGCGAACUGGCGUGCUUGAGUCCGCGGAAAGCAGGCGGAAUUCGUCGUGUAGCGGUGAAAUGCUGAGAUAUGACGAAGAACCCCGAUUGCGAAGGCAGCUUGCUGCAGCGGAACUGACGCUGAUGCUCGAAAGCGCGGGUAUCGAACAGGAUUAGAUAGCCGUGGAGUC